UCUGCCNGUAGUCAUAUGCUUGUCUUAAAGAUUAAGCCAUGCAUGUCUAAGUAUAAGCAAUUAUACAGCGAAACUGCGAAUGGCUCAUUAAAUCAGUUAUCGUUUAUUUGAUAGUACCUUACUACAUGGAUAACCGUGGUAAUUCUAGAGCUAAUACAUGCUGAAAACCCCGACUUCGGAAGGGGUGUAUUUAUUAGAUUAAAAACCAAUGCCCUUCGGGGCUCACUGGUGAUUCAUGAUAACUUCUCGAAUCGCACGGCCUUGCGCCGGCGAUGGUUCAUUCAAAUUUCUGCCCUAUCAACUUUCGACGGCUGGGUCUUGGCCAGCCGUGGUGACAACGGGUAACGGAGGGUUAGGGCUCGACCCCGGAGAAAACGCCUGAGAAACGGCGUUUACAUCCAAGGAAGGCAGCAGGCGCGCAAAUUACCCAAUGCCGACACGGCGAGGUAGUGACGAGAAAUACUGAUACAGGGCUCUUUUGGGUCUUGUAAUUGGAAUGAGUACAAUUUAAAUCUCUUAACGAGGAACAAUUGGAGGGCAAGUCUGGUGCCAGCAGCCGCGGUAAUUCCAGCUCCAAUAGCGUAUAU
rnacentral:rRNA from 1 species